rnacentral:rRNA from 1 species
GGCGAACGCUGGCGGCGUGCUUAACACAUGCAAGUCGAACGGAAAGGCCCUGCUUUUGUGGGGUGCUCGAGUGGCGAACGGGUGAGUAACACGUGAGUAACCUGCCCUUGACUUUGGGAUAACUUCAGGAAACUGGGGCUAAUACCGGAUAGGAGCUCCUGCUGCAUGGUGGGGGUUGGAAAGUUUCGGCGGUUGGGGAUGGACUCGCGGCUUAUCAGCUUGUUGGUGGGGUAGUGGCUUACCAAGGCUUUGACGGGUAGUCGGCCUGAGAGGGUGACCGGCCACAUUGGGACUGAGAUACGGCCCAGACUCCUACGGGAGGCAGCAGUGGGGAAUAUUGCACAAUGGGCGGAAGCCUGAUGCAGCAACGCCGCGUGCGGGAUGACGGCCUUCGGGUUGUAAACCGCUUUCGCCUGUGACGAAGCGUGAGUGACGGUAAUGGGUAAAGAAGCACCGGCUAACUACGUG